rnacentral:rRNA from 1 species
AUACGGAGGGGGUUAGCGUUGUUCGGAGUUACUGGGCGUAAAGCGCACGUAGGCGGACUGGAAAGUUGGGGGUGAAAUCCCGGGGCUCAACCCCGGAACUGCCUCCAAAACUUCCAAUCUAGAGAUCGAGAGAGGUGAGUGGAAUUCCAAGGGUAGAGGUGAAAUUCGUAGAUAUUUGGAGGAACACCAGUGGCGAAGGCGGCUCACUGGCUCGAUACUGACGCUGAGGUGCGAAAGCGUGGGGAGCAAACAGGAUUAGAAACCCCAGUAGUCC